rnacentral:rRNA from 1 species
GACGAACGCUGGCGGCGUGCUUAACACAUGCAAGUCGAACGAAGUGGCGAACGGGUGAGUAACGCGUAAUCAACCUGCCCUUCAGAGGGGGACAACAGUUGGAAACGACGCCUAAUACCGAAUACUGAAGGACGGGAUGGCGUCGGAUUGGCUCGUUGGGGGGGUAACGGCCCCCCAAGGCGAUGGUCAGUAGGCGGUCUGGGGGGGUGAACGGCCACAUUGGGACUGGGACACGGCCCAGACUCCUACGGGAGGGAGCAGUGGGGAAUCUUCCGCAAUGGACGAAAGUCUGACGGAGCAACGCCGCGGGAGUGAUGACGGCCUUCGGGGUGUAAAGCUCUGUUAAGCGGGACGCGGUACCGGAAUAGAAAGCCACGGCUAUCUACGUGCCAGCAGCCGCGGUAAUAC